rnacentral:rRNA from 1 species
CUCAGAUGACGCUGGCGGCGUGCCUAAUACAUGCAAGUCGAACGAGUUCUCGUUGAUGAUCGGUGCUUGCACCGAGAUUCAACAUGGAACGAGUGGCGGACGGGUGAGUAACACGUGGGUAACCUGCCCUUAAGUGGGGGAUAACAUUUGGAAACAGAUGCUAAUACCGCAUAGAUCCAAGAACCGCAUGGUUCUUGGCUGAAAGAUGGCGUAAGCUAUCGCUUUUGGAUGGACCCGCGGCGUAUUAGCUAGUUGGUGAGGUAAUGGCUCACCAAGGCGAUGAUACGUAGCCGAACUGAGAGGUUGAUCGGCCACAUUGGGACUGAGACACGGCCCAAACUCCUACGGGAGGCAGCAGUAGGGAAUCUUCCACAAUGGACGCAAGUCUGAUGGAGCAACGCCGCGUGAGUGAAGAAGGCUUUCGGGUCGUAAAACUCUGUUGUUGGAGAAGAAUGGUCGGCAGAGUAACUGUUGUCGGCGUGACGGUAUCCAACCAGAAAGCCACGGCUAACUACGUGCCAGCAGCCGCGGUAAUACGUAGGUGGCAAGCGUUAUCCGGAUUUAUUGGGCGUAAAGCGAGCGCAGGCGGUUUUUUAAGUCUGAUGUGAAAGCCCUCGGCUUAACCGAGGAAGCGCAUCGGAAACUGGGAAACUUGAGUGCAGAAGAGGACAGUGGAACUCCAUGUGUAGCGGUGAAAUGCGUAGAUAUAUGGAAGAACACCAGUGGCGAAGGCGGCUGUCUGGUCUGUAACUGACGCUGAGGCUCGAAAGCAUGGGUAGCGAACAGGAUUAGAUACCCUGGUAGUCCAUGCCGUAAACGAUGAAUGCUAGGUGUUGGAGGGUUUCCGCCCUUCAGUGCCGCAGCUAACGCAUUAAGCAUUCCGCCUGGGGAGUACGACCGCAAGGUUGAAACUCAAAGGAAUUGACGGGGGCCCGCACAAGCGGUGGAGCAUGUGGUUUAAUUCGAAGCAACGCGAAGAACCUUACCAGGUCUUGACAUCUUUUGAUCACCUGAGAGAUCAGGUUUCCCCUUCGGGGGCAAAAUGACAGGUGGUGCAUGGUUGUCGUCAGCUCGUGUCGUGAGAUGUUGGGUUAAGUCCCGCAACGAGCGCAACCCUUAUGACUAGUUGCCAGCAUUUAGUUGGGCACUCUAGUAAGACUGCCGGUGACAAACCGGAGGAAGGUGGGGAUGACGUCAAAUCAUCAUGCCCCUUAUGACCUGGGCUACACACGUGCUACAAUGGAUGGUACAACGAGUUGCGAGACCGCGAGGUCAAGCUAAUCUCUUAAAGCCAUUCUCAGUUCGGACUGUAGGCUGCAACUCGCCUACACGAAGUCGGAAUCGCUAGUAAUCGCGGAUCAGCACGCCGCGGUGAAUACGUUCCCGGGCCUUGUACACACCGCCCGUCACACCAUGAGAGUUUGUAACACCCGAAGCCGGUGGCGUAACCCUUUUAGGGAGCGAGCCGUCUAAGGUGGGACAAAUGAUUAGGGUGAGCAAGAGGGGGGAAGAAAAAAAA